AACAGAGGAAUAAAAAAAAGGGGCUAGUAUUUUCAUUUUUGAUUAUUGUUUGGCUAUAAAGCCAAAAAACAUUUUCAUUGUAAUGGACACACGCACACUUCGCAUAUUGUAAUACAGAAAAAGGCUAUCAAAAUCGAAAGGUGAUUUCCGAUUUAAAUCUUCGGGCAUUUUCUUUUUUUUUUUCUUUUUUCGGUUUCAUUCUUUGGUUUUUGUUGAUCUUUUUUUCUAUUCGAAGGCAUGAAUAAAAAGAAAAUGAGGGUUUACCUUUGCGAAAACGCAUUGGGGUCCUCCUUCGUCGAAGUCGAAGCUGAGAUGGGAUCUCAGGGUUGAAAUCGGCCUUGAGUCAUGGCUUAAGCAGAAAUAGGAGGGGCCCUCACACGAUCCACCGAUAAUAAUGGUGGAGUGGUGGUCAAACGGCGGGGAACCGAAUAGGAAGAGGCCUUAGGUUUUUUUUUCUUUCUUCUUUUUUU
rnacentral:lncRNA from 1 species